GGGGUUGUGGCUCAGUGGUAGAGUGCUGGCCUAGCAUGUGUGAGGCCCUGGGUUCAGUCCUCAGCACCUCA
rnacentral:tRNA from 1 species